rnacentral:rRNA from 1 species
CAGCCGCCGCGGUAAUACAGAGGGUGCGAGCGUUAAUCGGAUUUACUGGGCGUAAAGCGUGCGUAGGCGGCUUCUUAAGUCGGAUGUGAAAUCCCUGAGCUUAACUUAGGAAUUGCAUUCGAUACUGGGAAGCUAGAGUAUGGGAGAGGAUGGUAGAAUUCCAGGUGUAGCGGUGAAAUGCGUAGAGAUCUGGAGGAAUACCGAUGGCGAAGGCAGCCAUCUGGCCUAAUACUGACGCUGAGGUACGAAAGCAUGGGGAGCAAACAGGAUUAGAGACCCCAGUAGUCCCUGUCUCUUAUAC